CGUAGGUGGCGAGCGUUGUCCGGAAUUACUGGGUGUAAAGGGCGUGUAGGCGGGACUGUAAGUCAGUAUGUGAAAUUCUGAGGCUUAACCUCAGCGCUGCAUCUGAAACUGCGGUUCUUGAGUAUCGGAGAGGAAAGUGGAAUUCCCAGUGUAGCGGUGAAAUGCGUAGAUAUUGGGAGGAACACCAGUGGCGAAGGCGACUUUCUGGACGAUAACUGACGCUGAGGCGCGGAAGCGUGGGGAGCAAACAGGAUUAGAUACCCUGGUAGUCCACGCUGUAAACGAUGGAUACUAGGUGUAGGAGGUAUCGACCCCUUCUGUGCCGGAGUUAACACAAUAAGUAUCCCACCUGGGGAGUACGGCCGCAAAGGUUG
rnacentral:rRNA from 1 species